rnacentral:rRNA from 1 species
GAUGAACGCUGGCGGCGUGCCUAAUACAUGCAAGUCGAGCGAAGCGGGGACAGGGGAGUAACACGUGGAUAACCCGCUCUAAGACUGGGAUAACCUCGGGAAACCGGAGCUUAACCGGAAACUGAUCGCAGGAUCUGCGCUGCAUUAGCUAGUGGGUAGGGUAACGGCUGACCAAGGCAACGAUGCAUAGCCGACCUGAGAGGGUGAUCAGCCACACUGGAACUGAGACACGGUCCAGACUCCUACGGGAGGCAGCAGUAGGGAAUCUUGCGCAAUGGGCGCAAGCCUGACGGAGCAACGCCGCGUGUGUGAUGAAGGCCUUCGGGUCGUAAAGCACUGUUAUUGGGGAAGCGGUACCCGCACAGAAAGCCACGGCUAACUACGUGCCAGCAGCCGCGGUAAUAC